rnacentral:rRNA from 1 species
ACCUUACUACUUGGAUAACCGUGGUAAUUCUAGAGCUAAUACAUGCUAAAAACCCCGACUUCGGAAGGGGUGUAUUUAUUAGAUAAAAAACCAAUGCCCUUCGGGGCUCUUUGGUGAUUCAUGAUAACUUAACGGAUCGCAUGGCCUUGCGCCGGCGACGGUUCAUUCAAAUUUCUGCCCUAUCAACUUUCGAUGGUAAGGUAUUGGCUUACCAUGGUUUCAACGGGUAACGGGGAAUUAGGGUUCGAUUCCGGAGAGGGAGCCUGAGAAACGGCUACCACAUCCAAGGAAGGCAGCAGGCGCGCAAAUUACCCAAUCCCGACACGGGGAGGUAGUGACAAUAAAUACUGAUACAGGGCUCUUUUGGGUCUUGUAAUCGGAAUGAGUACAAUUUAAACCCCUUAACGAGGAACAAUUGGAGGGCAAGUCUGGUGCCAGCAGCCGCGGUAAUUCCAGCUCCAAUAGCGUAUAUUAAAGUUGUUGCAGUUAAAAAGCUCGUAGUUGAACCUUGGGCCUGGCUGGCCGGUCCGCCUCACCGCGUGUACUGGUCCGGCCGGGCCUUUCCUUCUGGAGAGCCCCAUGCCCUUCACUGGGCGUGUGGGGGAACCAGGACUUUUACUUUGAAAAAAUUAGAGUGUUCAAAG